rnacentral:rRNA from 1 species
GACGAACGCUGGCGGCGUGCUUAACACAUGCAAGUCGAACGGAAAGGCCCUGCUUUUGUGGGGUGCUCGAGUGGCGAACGGGUGAGUAACACGUGAGUAACCUGCCCUUGACUUUGGGAUAACUUCGGGAAACUGGGGCUAAUACCGGAUAGGAGCUCCUGCUGCAUGGUGGGGGUUGGAAAGUUUCGGCGGUUGGGGAUGGACUCGCGGCUUAUCAGCUUGUUGGUGGGGUAGUGGCUUACCAAGGCUUUGACGGGUAGCCGGCCUGAGAGGGUGACCGGCCACAUUGGGACUGAGAUACGGCCCAGACUCCUACGGGAGGCAGCAGUGGGGAAUAUUGCACAAUGGGCGGAAGCCUGAUGCAGCAACGCCGUGUGCGGGAUGACGGCCUUCGGGUUGUAAACCGCUUUCGCCUGUGACGAAGCGUGAGUGACGGUAAUGGGUAAAGAAGCACCGGCUAACUACGUG